CUGACUGGCCAAUUACACGAGUGUCGCUUUUCUGGCUGCCCUAGAACCUUACAACAAAAGGGCUUUCCAUUUCAAAAAGCUGGAGUGUCCGUGUCUCCCCCUCCCCCAAGUAACUCCAUCUUUUGGAAAGUUUCUAAUAAUUGGACAAUCCCAGAUAUAAUGAAAGAAGUCAACAUUCUUCUCUGUACAUUUUGGACAAAAAGAAACCUUCUGAGAGCUAUCACAGUUUUGGAACAAUAAGCCAUAACCUAAAUGAAUGAGCCGGAAAUGUUGGUCUCUCCAGGACUCAGAACAUAUAUUCUUUCUAAAAUUUUGGAAAGAAUGUAGAAGUUCCCUGGAAGAAACAUCAGUUCCCAAAAAUGAAGACCAUUUUUUGCUCGAAUUCUCUAGUGGAUCUAAAUCCUUGGAGACUGACUUUAAAAGAUGUAAUGAGAUCCAUGAAAUAUUAUUUAGUUUAAUAUCAUCAACCAACUGUAAUAAAUCUUUAUAAAACUGA